AGCCCCAAGUGGAUGAACUGCUGAAGAAGAUCAAUUUAAUGUAUGAACAAAAUCAUAAAGAAUAUUACACAGAUUCUGAUCACAAAAAAGGAAUGCCAUCUUCAAGCAGUGGUUGGUUUAGUCAUGCAAAAACAACGGUCACAACUGGUUUAACAGGAAUCAGGACUCAUCUGGGAUUGUCUGAUUAGCCUAACAAGGAGGUUCGGGGUUCAACUCUGUGGACUGACUAGAGGACUUUCUGUGAGAGGAUUGCAUGUUCUCCUCGUGCCUGCAUACCUCGUCCUUGGAGUGCUCUGGUUUCCUCCCACACUCCAAAGACAUUAGAUCUACUGACUAAACUCACCAUAGGUGUGAGUGUGAAUGGCUGUCUGUCUCUCUGCAUUAGGCCCGUGAUAGAGUUAGGGCGAUCUGUCCAGGUGUACCCCACCUCCUGUCCAGUGUCAGAUGGGAUUGGCUUCACCUCAUCCAUGACCUGUUAUGGAUAAGCAGUAUAGAAAAUAGCUGGAUGAUGUAAAACCACCAUCAGCUCACUCUCUCUUGGUGUGGUUAUGUGAAAUGUACUAUACAUUGCAAUUCAUGCUUGUUAUUUUUCCUUUUUGAUUGUAAACCAAUGUAUAUUGCACUUUCUUGUAAUACUAUCCAUUGUAUCAUGAAAUUUUACAGAUAUCAUAACCUUAUCAUUUGUAUUUACUGGCUUGUUUUGUGAUUCGUGUUUGUAGCUCCUCAACAAUAAACAAGAAUAAAAUACAGAUAAACUGCAACUGUUCAACUGCUGAUCCCCCCCCCAAUUUUUAAAAUUAUGUCUACAGCAUAUAAUUUGUACAUUUUAUUGGCAUUGUUUUAAAAUGGGGCAGGGAUAUAUGAUUCAGUGAUUCGUCUGAGUAUUUGUUUUAUUUAUGAUGCUUGGGUUUUUGUCAUUAAUCAGCUAUAAUAAAAACACUUGGAAAAAUAAA